UCAGUGAUAGAUUAGUGGUAGAAUGCUUGCCUAAUGUGCAUGAGGAUCUAGGUUCAAUCUCUAGUACUGAA
rnacentral:tRNA from 1 species